AGUGAACGCUGGCGGUAGGCCUAACACAUGCAAGUCGAACGGCAGCACAGUAAGAGCUUGCUCUUACGGGUGGCGAGUGGCGGACGGGUGAGGAAUACAUUGGAAUCUACUUUUUCGUGGGGGAUAACGUAGGGAAACUUACGCUAAUACCGCAUACGACCUACGGGUGAAAGCAGGGGAUCUUCGGACCUUGCGCGAUUGAAUGAGCCGAUGUCGGAUUAGCUAGUUGGCGGGGUAAAGGCCCACCAAGGCGACGAUCCGUAGCUGGUCUGAGAGGAUGAUCAGCCACACUGGAACUGAGACACGGUCCAGACUCCUACGGGAGGCAGCAGUGGGGAAUAUUGGGCAAUGGGCGCAAGCCUGAUCCAGCCAUACCGCGUGGGUGAAGAAGGCCUUCGGGUUGUAAAGCCCUUUUGUUGGGAAAGAAAAGCAGCAGGUUAAUACCCCGCUGUUCUGACGGUACCCAAAGAAUAAGCACCGGCUAACUUCGUG
rnacentral:rRNA from 1 species